CUUGUACAGGAUAGGUAGGAGCCUUUGAAACGUGAGCGCUAGCUUACGUGGAGGCGCUGGUGGGAUACUACCCUAGCUGUGUUGGCUUUCUAACCCGCACCACUUAUCGUGGUGGGAGACAGUGUCAGGCGGGCAGUUUGACUGGGGCGGUCGCCUCCUAAAAGGUAACGGAGGCGCUCAAAGGUUCCCUCAGAAUGGUUGGAAAUCAUUCAUAGAGUGUAAAGGCAUAAGGGAGCUUGACUGCGAGACCUACAA
rnacentral:rRNA from 1 species